CCUACGGGAGGCAGCAGUGGGGAAUAUUGGGCAAUGGAGGAAACUCUGAUCCAGCAACGCCGCGUGACUGAUGAAGGUCUUCGGAUUGUAAAGUUCUUUUCUAAGGGAAGAAGAAAGUGACGGUACCUUAGGAAUAAGCCUCGGCUAACUACGUGCUAGCAGCCGCGGUAAUACGUAGGAGGCAAGCGUUAUCCGGAAUGACUGGGCGUAAAGGGUGCGUAGGUGGUUUGACAAGUAGGUUGAGUAACUCCGGGGCUCAACCUCGGAACUACGACCAGAACUGUCGGACUUGAGUGUAGGAGGGGCAAAUGGAAUUCCUAGUGUAGCAGUGGAAUGCGUAGAUAUGAGGAGGAACACCAGUGGCGAAGGCGAUUUGCUGGAAUAUAACUGACACUGAGGCACGAAAGCGUGGGUAGCAAACAGGAUUAGAUACCCCAGUAGUC
rnacentral:rRNA from 1 species